GAUGAACGCUAGCGACAGGCCUAACACAUGCAAGUCGAGGGGCAGCACAAGGAGCAAUCUGAGGUGGCGACCGGCGCACGGGUGAGUAACAUAUCGGAACAUGUCCUAUCGUGGGGGAUAACUAGUCGAAAGAUUAGCUAAUACCGCAUACGUCCUGAGGGAGAAAGCGGGGGCUCGCAAGACCUCGCGCGAUUGGAGUGGCCGAUAUCUGAUUAGCUAGUUGGUGAGGUAAAGGCUCACCAAGGCGACGAUCAGUAGCUGGUCUGAGAGGAUGAUCAGCCACACUGGGACUGAGACACGGCCCAGACUCCUACGGGAGGCAGCAGUGAGGAAUAUUGGUCAAUGGACGCAAGUCUGAACCAGCCACGUCGCGUGAAGGAAGACGGCCCUACGGGUUGUAAACUUCUUUUGCAAGGGAAUAAAGUGGGCCACGUGUGGUCUUUUGCAAGUACCUUGCGAAUAAGGAUCGGCUAACUCCG
rnacentral:rRNA from 1 species